ensembl:snoRNA small nucleolar RNA SNORA21
CCCCUUCUAAAAGCACUCCAUCUGCCUGUGUCAGUGGCUGAGCGAGUUGUCGUGGAAGGGAAAACUAAACUCAUCACUAGUGGGUGAGAAGGCAGUGAUUUGUACUGUUAAAUCUCAAUUUGUGAUGAUACAAAC